AAAAAGACAAACCCUAGAUUUCCGUGUCCAACUUUGACUAUCCGUCUUAUAUGAAAUUUUUUUUAUAAUUAGUAUUUUCAUUGUUGUUAGAUGAUAAAACAUGAUUAAUACUUUAUGCGUGAGACUUGUCUUUUUAAUUUUUUUCAUAAUUUUUUUAAAUAAGACGGACGGUCAAACGUUGGACACGGAAACCCAGGGUUUGUCUUUUU
rfam:Oryza sativa Japonica Group DNA, chromosome 9, cultivar: Nipponbare, complete sequence.